GACGAACGCUGGCGGCGUGCUUAACACAUGCAAGUCGAACGAAGUGGCGAACGGGUGAGUAAUACGUGAGUAACCUGCCCUCCUUUUUGGGAUAAGCCUUGGAAACGGGGUCUAAUACCGAAUAAAGGGGGAUGGGCUCGCGGCCUAUCAGGUUGUGGGUGGGGUGAUGACCUACCAAGGGGGUGACGGGUAGCCGGCCUGAGAGGGUGACCGGAGACAUUGUGAACGGGGUACGGCCCAGAGUGAGCCGGGAUGCGGGAAUGGUGGAUAUUGCACAAUGGGCGAACGCCGUAUGCAGCGACGAGGCGUGGGGGUUGACGGCUUUCGGGGUGUAAACCUCUUGCGCUAUCGAGCGGGUAGGUGGAGAAGAAGCGCCGGCUAACUACGUGCCAGCAGCCGCGGUAAUAC
rnacentral:rRNA from 1 species